AACAAAUAACAACUUUGAGAGAAAGGCACGUCUGAUGUUUAGCUCAAUCCAUCAGAGUUGCUUGUUCUUGUAUUGUAUAUGACUUGCAAAAUCCAAAGCCCCUCACUGCCCCACCACCCCACUCCACCAGAGUCAUGGGGCUCUUGCCCUCUUAGCUCCCAACAAUCUCACUCUUGUUCUCAGGGUCUUUGUCCCUCCUCUCCCUCUAUAUCUUCACCACCCAUCUCACUUAUUUAAUUCCACGCCUCCCAAUCUGCUUCUUGUUCCUCUUCACCAAUAACACCAAGUUUGAUGGGAUCGAACAAGGAAGAGAAAGAUGCAAGUUACUUGGAACAUGAAAGAGUUGUGAAGACUAGGAAAGCUUGCUUUUGGUCAAUUUUGGUGAGUGUGGCAGGGGGGCUCAUGUUAGGAUGGUGGGAAUAUCAAUAUCAUCCCACAAAUAGGCAACUGUGGAUGGUGCCCUUUGGUCUCAUCCUUUUUGCUACCCCGGUCAUUGUUUGGUUCUCUGUUAUGGCCUCUGACAUCUGUAAUUUGAAGGAUGAUGAUCAUGUCACAAGGGUGAGUCAACUCAGUAACUCGGUUCCUGCCAAGAAAGAUGGGCAAUGGAGCAACCAUGUGAAUGAUGUAUAGAUUUUAAAAUAUAUUGCUUACGAUUGAUUCUAUGUAAGAAUUCCACCAAUCUCAGUCAAUUACGUACGUGGAGUUGUAUUUAUUUAUUUAUAAGAACUAUGUGAACACCAUGUGGGCUCCAAGUAAUUGAUUAAGAUUCAUAUAUUAUGUAAUGAGCAUAGUUACAUAGGCUUUUUAAUUACAGGUGAUAGAAUGAUUGUGGUUGAUUUUGUUAUAAAACUUUACACUACUAAUAUGUUUUCUGACA